UUACGCCCCGUAUUUUUAUACAUUGGGACAACCCGGAUUAAUUAUGAUAAUUUAGAGCCAAGACUAUUCCGGGAUUCGAAGUCGGGACUUUUGACCUUUGAUUUUAUUUCGAGGCAUAAGUUAUAUAUGGAAUUGUUGGCAUUGAACACUUAGGAAAAAUUUGGGACCACAAUUCAUAAAUUGGAAUUAAAAUGUUGUGCAAAAAAAUAAAAAAUAAAAAAUAAAUUCCUUGGUGGCCAUGUAAAUGGGAAUUGGUCCCACACAUUAUGUGGCCAAUUUUAAUUGGUCCACUCCAUGUGUGGGCCAAGGACACUUGGACAACAACUAUAUGAGCCUAAAGUAUGACCAAGUAGUCAUCUUUUCCCCAUUGCAAGACUUAGAAAAAAAAAUCAAGGAGUUGAAGACCACCUUCAACACCCCUCUCGGCUACAAACCAAGAAAAACCAAAUCCAAAUCAAGCCACCCCAAAAUUAUUUCCUUGGUAUAAAUCAACUAUUUAGAAGUCCCUAAGUAACGUGGAAGAGUUGUUUGGGUCAUCCAACCACUAGUUGUGCCCAAUUGCAAACCCUAACUAUUGAAGGAAGUGAAGAAGGAAGACCUUGGGCAGCCCGAAUCAUAGUUUGGACUUAGCUUGAGUUGGAUCAUAUUGGAGAGCGUUUGAGGUACAGACGCACAGCCUGGUGAUCCACCUGUUUAGGAUACCCUUUCUGCUAUU